GAUGGAAGAACGUAGCGAAAUGCGAUAAGUAAUGUGAAUUGCAGAAUUCAGUGAAUCAUCGAAUCUUUGAACGCACCUUGCGCCCUUUGGCCAUUCCGAAGGGCAUGCCUGUUUGAGUAUCAUGAACACCUCAACUCUUCAUGGUUUUCCGUGAUGAGCUUGGACUUUGGGGGUCUUGCUGGCCUAUGGUCAGCUCCUCUAAAAUAAAUCAGCUUGCCAGUGUUUGGUGGGUAUCACAGGUGUGAUAACUAUCUACGCUUGUGGUUUUCCACCAGGUAACCUUCAGCAGUGGAGGUUCGCUGGAGCUCACAGAUGUGUCUCUCCUCAGUGAGGACAGCUCUUUGAAUGUUUGAUCUCAAAUCAGGUAGGACUACCCGCUGAACUUAAGCAUAUCAAUAAGCGGAGGA
rnacentral:misc_RNA from 1 species